AAUAAACAUAAUCAUGAGUUUUCAUGUCUAACUUUGAUCGUUCGUCUUAUUUAAAAAAAUUAUAAUUGAUAUUUUUAUUGUUAUUAUAUUAUAAAACAUGAAUAAUAUUUUAUACAUGACUUAUGUUUUUUAUUUUUUUAAAUAAAACGAAUAAUAAAAGUUGGACACAUAACUUAUAGCUGUGUUUAUU
rfam:Oryza sativa (indica cultivar-group) chromosome 7, whole genome shotgun sequence.